rnacentral:rRNA from 1 species
CCUACGGGUUGCAGCAGUGGGGAAUAUUGCACAAUGGGCGCAAGCCUGAUGCAGCCAUGCCGCGUGAGUGAAGAAGGCCUUAGGGUUGUAAAGCUCUUUCACCGGUGAAGAUAAUGACGGUAACCGGAGAAGAAGCCCCGGCUAACUUCGUGCCAGCAGCCGCGGUAAUACGAAGGGGGCUAGCGUUGUUCGGAAUUACUGGGCGUAAAGCGCGCGUAGGCGGAUAGAUAAGUCAGAGGUGAAAUCCCGGGGCUCAGCCCCGGAAUUGCCUUUGAUACUGUUUAUCUUGAGUGCAGAAGAGGUAAGUAGAAUUCCGAGUGUAGAGGUGAAAUUCGUAGAUAUUGGGAAGAACACCGGUGGCGAAGGCGGCUUACUGGUCUGCAACUGACGCUGAGGCGCGAAAGCGUGGGGAGCAAACAGGAUUAGAUACCCUCGUAGUC